rnacentral:rRNA from 1 species
AUACGGAGGGUGCAAGCGUUAUCCGGAUUUAUUGGGUUUAAAGGGUGCGUAGGCGGUUUGAUAAGUCAGCGGUGAAAUAUUUCAGCUUAACUGGAAGGGUGCCGUUGAUACUGUCGAGCUUGAAUUUAGUUGCUGUGGGUGGAAUGUGUGGUGUAGCGGUGAAAUGCAUAGAUAUCACACAGAAUAUCGAUUGCGAAGGCAGCUCACAAAGCUAAUAUUGACGCUGAUGCACGAAAGUGUGGGGAUCAAACAGGAUUAGAUACCCUGGUAGUCCACACUGUAAACGAUGAUAACUCGCUGUCGGCGAUACAUAGUCGGUGGCCAAGCGAAAGCGAUAAGUUAUCCACCUGGGGAGUACGACCGCAAGGUUGAAACUCAAAUGAAUUGACGGGG